GACGAACGCUGGCGGCGUGCUUAACACAUGCAAGUCGAACGGAAAGGCCCUGCUUUUGUGGGGUGCUCGAGUGGCGAACGGGUGAGUAACACGUGAGUAACCUGCCCUUGACUUUGGGAUAACUUCAGGAAACUGGGGCUAAUACCGGAUAGGAGCUCCUGCUGCAUGGUGGGGGUUGGAAAGUUUCGGCGGUUGGGGAUGGACUCGCGGCUUAUCAGCUCGUUGGUGGGGUAGUGGCUUACCAAGGCUUUGACGGGUAGCCGGCCUGAGAGGGUGACCGGCCACAUUGGGACUGAGAUACGGCCCAGACUCCUACGGGAGGCAGCAGUGGGGAAUAUUGCACAAUGGGCGGAAGCCUGAUGCAGCAACGCCGCGUGCGGGAUGACGGCCUUCGGGUUGUAACCGCUUUCGCCUGUGACGAAGCGUGAGUGACGGUAAUGGGUAAAGAAGCACCGGCUAACUACGUG
rnacentral:rRNA from 1 species